rnacentral:rRNA from 1 species
GGAUAAUCUACCCUUAGGUGGGGCAUAAACCCGGGAAACUGGGGCUAAUACCCCAUAGAUACAGAACGCUGGAAUGCCUCUGUAUUCAAAGCUCCGGCGCCUAAGGAUGAGUCUGCGACCUAUCAGGUAGUAGUCAGGGUCACGACCUGACUAGCCAACGACGGGUACGGGGUGUGAGAGCACUUGCCCGGAGAUGGUUUCUGAGACACGAAACCAGGCCCUACGGGGCGCAGCAGGCGCGAAAACUUCGCAAUGCGGGAAACCGUGACGAGGGAACUCCAAGUGUCUAUGCAAUGCAUAGACUGUUUUUCAGCCUAAAUAGCUGUUAGAGUAAGGGGUGGGUAAGACCGGUGCCAGCCGCCGCGGUAACACCGGCACCCCAAGUGGUAGUCGAUUUUAUUGGGCCUAAAACGUCCGUCGCCUGUUUGGUACAUUCGUGGGUAAAUCAACCAGCUCAACUGGUUGAAUUCUGCGAGCACGGCCAGACUUGGGACCGGGAGAGGUGUGGGGUACGCUCAGGGUAGGGGUAAAAUCCUGUCAUCCUGAGCGGACCACCUGUUGCGAAGGCUCCACACUAGAACGGAUCCGACGGUCAGGGACGAAGCCUAGGGGCACGAACCGGAUUAGAUACCCGGGUAGUCCUAGGUGUAAACGCUGUGGACUUGAUGUUGGGGGUGCUCCGAGCACUCUCAGUGUC